rnacentral:lncRNA from 1 species
UGCACCGCCCACUGGAAGGCGCGCGUCAGCCGUCGUCUGAGGUCCUCCAGCAGCGGGCUGGCGGCGAGGGCCUCCUCCUGGAUGUCCGUGCUCCUGCCGUCCCCGAAGAAGUCGCACGCGGGACGAGGUGGGAACCAAAGCUCCGCUCUACCUGGGAGUCCCUGGAGCCCCUGGGAAAUUCUCUCUCUGCAGCGGCGGAAGUCCCCGGGGCCCAUCGCGGAGACGCCUGGUCACUGCUCUACCGCUGCUGCUGAAAGAUGAGUUUCUAAGUUUGAUGUUUAGGGCGGGGUCAGGGCGGGGGCGGAGGUAAUUCAAGGACCCUUGCCAAGUGGGAUGCUGCAACUGCCCCGCCAUUCAGAGACGCUCCUUUGCUCCCAGUCCCAUCUUAGUCCUCCAUUAGCGACAGAGGAAGGAGGCGGUUCCCAUAACUCCAGGAGAAGUUUAAGCUGAGUCGCUUUUUUCUGCUGCUUGCAUUGAAAGGAAGUCUUUCUAAGGAGAAGGCUUGGUAACUGAGCAGUCAGCCUAUGUAAGUGGAAGUUGAGGUACAGGUGGAAGGUUUAUGACCAAAGGUUAGAAUAUUUCAACCCAAAGCCUUCCUGGUUGCCUUGAUCGUCUAAUACGUCAUUCCUUAAAAACAAUUUUUUUUCUUCCUACUCUGCCAGGCACUUUGCCAAGUUUGGGGAAUGCAAAGGCUUAAUUAGACCCCUCACCUUUCCCCAGGUAUUGCCCGCAGUCAAGGGGGAGAGCCUUGGCCCUGCUUGCUAGUUAGAAUGUACCUUCUACAGGUUCAGUAAGGCAUACCUGGAAGUCUGAGUCUCCAUGCUCCUUUCUAUUUUGACUCCUGUCUGCCAUGUCCACGUUUAUGAAGGGGUUAAAAUGAAAAAUCAAAAUUCCCCUUAGCCCAAAGUGUGUGUGUUUAAUUCCCAACUAAUAAGGUUUGGCUCUGUGUCAUCACCAAAUUCCAGUGGAAUUGUAAUCCCCAGUGUUGGAGAUGAAGCCUGGUGGGAGGUGAUUGGAUCAUGGAGGUAGAGUUCUCAUGAAUGGGUUUAGCCCCAUUCCCGCCUGGUACUUUAUAGUGAAUGAGUUCUUACCAGAUCUGGUUGUUUAAAGUGUAUGGCACCUCCUCUCUCUCUCUCACUCCUGCUCUGCCAUGUAAGACACUUGCUCUCGCUUUGCCUUCCACUAUGAGUAAAAGCUCCCUGAGGCCUCCCCAGAAGCAGAUGCUGCCAUGCUUUCUGUAUAGCAUACAGAACCAUGAGCCAAUUAAACCUCUUUUCUUUCCAAAUUACCCAGUCUCCGGUAUUUCUUUAUAGCAGUGAGAGGACAGACUAAUACACCAACUCCAGGUAAUCAUGUGCCAAUAUUACCUGUAUAUCCUUUAUCAAAGAACAUAUUCUGCCUCUUUUUGAUCUAAUAGGGAAUUUCUAAAAAGGAGUGAACAAUCAAAACUUUUGUAUGAUCAAAGAAUGCAAUUACAAAAAAAAACAAAACAUAGUUUAGACACAACUCUCAUCUUAUUCAUCAUUCAUUCAUUCAUUCAUUCAAAAGUUACAAGUCACUUGCAAUGUUCCAGGGUCCAUGGUAGGCAUUGAAGGCAAUAACAACUGAUUUUUAUUCAUGCUUAGUAUGUGCCAGGCAAUUUUUAUGUAUUAAUCUUCACAGCAACCUUGUGAGGUAAGUACUAUUAGUUUCUGCAUUUUACAAUUGAGGAAACUAAGGCAAGAGAUUAAGACGUACACCAAAGAUCUCAAAGCUGGUAAGGGAUCCACUGGAAAUUUGCACCUAGGAAGUCUGGCUUGUGCUCCAAACCACUGGGAUACACCCUGGAUACGCUUUAUCUCCCAAAGAGGAAGAGAGUUGCUCAGUUUAUAUGUUGCAUGAGUGAGUGAGUAAGAGUGAAUAAGUGUUUAAAUUCACUAUGUUCAUAAAAUUCGGCUCUAUUGAAAUGGCUUAAGGCUCAACUGGAUAAGGAACAAUACAGGUUACUCAGCCUGUGCAGAUAAUCUACUAAAUUGAACAGCUUGCAAUAGUUUACAACCCAAGCACAGUAAAAUUCCUACCAUUGUAUAUUGCUUCAUAAAGAUUCCCUAGAAACAUCUGAAGAUGUGUUGUCUUGGUAGAAAUUAUAAAAAUCCAUGUGGUCUGCCAUGCAGCAAUGGAGUGUGAAUUUAGGGUUUUUUGUUUGUUGGUUGGUGAUAGGUUGAUGGGGCUUGAAAACCACCACUAGUCAAUGUACAAUAUAAACGUUUAAAAUGAAUUUUUUGCUAUGAUUUUUCACUUCCAUUUCCAGAUCAUUUACUUCAACAAGAAUUUCAGUUAAGUUCAAUUUAACUCAACAGUGAAUGGCGCAUGUUCAGUGUUAAGAAUUGUGCCAUAUGAGGGAGAUACAAAGAUGAAUAAGGCAUAGUUUUUGUCCCCCAGAAGCUUAAAACCUGAGGAAGCAAAUUUAUUGAUUCAUUCAUUUAACAAUAUUUAUUUAAUGUCUUAUUAUGUACCAAGCAUUACACAAGGUGCUCAAGCUACAAUGGCAAACCAAGGAGACAAAAUGUUUUUUUAAAAUAAACUGGUUUACCACAAAUUAAUAAUUUUCCUCUAUAGGUUAAUUUUUCAGUUGUGGUACACCUUGAAUUUUACAAUUUUUUUUCUUUCUCUUACACAGGCAAAGCAAAUUGAAGAAUUGGAGCACUGAAUAUAACAUCCACAGACAUUUGAAUUAGAAAAUGUAUUAAUUAUUUAUUGCUGCAUAACAAAUUACUCCAAAAUUCAAUGGUUUAAAAAAAUAAACAUUUAUUUUCUCUG